UUUCCCUCUGUUUAAACUCUCCAUUUCUAUUCCUCCAUCUCUAGCUCUCUCGUCGCUCCCGAAACAAAACCCUCUCCACCAAAUCCCAAAUCCCAAACCCCAAAAACCCCAAGCAACACAAAAUCCCCCUAUUUCCCAUAUCUGAAGCCACAGAUAAUCCUGUACGCAUACCUUUAUAAACAGGAAAUUUAUGGAUUCAGAUCAGGGAAAGCUAUUUAUUGGUGGGAUUUCAUGGGAGACAACGGAGGAGAAGCUCCAGGACUACUUUUCUCAAUAUGGCGACGUUUUACAGGCUGUGGUAAUGCGAGACAAGACCACUGGCAGACCCAGAGGCUUUGGUUUUGUCGUUUUCGCAGAUCCUUCCACCCUCGAUAGGGUUCUUCAGGAGAAGCAUACAAUCGAUGGUAGAACGGUUGAGGCGAAGAAGGCCUUGUCAAGAGAGGAGCAGCAAACCAGUGCCAGAGCUGGAAACGUGAAUCCAUCUAGAAACACUGGUAAUGGUGGAAAUAUCAGGACCAAAAAGAUUUUUGUUGGAGGGUUACCUCCCACUAUGACUGAGGAUGGAUUCCGUCAGUAUUUUGAAGAUUAUGGCCAUGUUACUGAUGUAGUAAUAAUGUAUGACCAGAACACCCAACGGCCUCGUGGAUUUGGCUUUAUUUCCUUUGAUAGUGAGGAUGCUGUUGAUCGGGUCUUGCAUAAAACUUUCCAUGAUUUGAAUGGAAAGCAAGUUGAAGUAAAGCGGGCUCUUCCUAAAGAUGCUAAUCCUGGUGGGGGAAGCCGCUCCAUGAGUGGUGGUGCCAAUGGUGGUGCUGGUGGUUAUCAGGGCUAUGGUGCUUCCGGGGGCAAUGCAAAUUCAUAUGAUGGUCGAAUGGAUUCAAAUAGGUAUAUGCAGCCUCAGAGCACAGGAGGUGGCUUUCCUCCUUAUGGUUCAUCAGGCUUUAAUGCACCUGGUUAUGGAUAUGGUCCUGCCAAUAAUGGUGUUGGAUAUGGUGGUUAUGGUAGUUAUGGCGGUGCCAGUGCUGGCUAUGGUGGACCUGCUGGUGCUGCGUAUGGGAAUCCUAACGUCCCAAGUGCUGGGUAUGCAAGUGGUCCACCUGGUGCCCCUAGAAGCUCAUGGAGCAGUCAAGCUCCAUCUGGCUAUGGUGCCAUGGGCUACGGACAUGCUCCAUCUUGGGGCACACCAAAUGCUGGUGCUGGGAGCACUGGUCCUGGUCCAACUCCUGCUGGUCAAUCUCCUGGUGGGACUGCUGGGUAUGGGAAUCAAGGUUAUGGAUAUGGUAGUUAUGUUGGAAAUGAUGGAUCCUAUGGGAAUCCAGCUGGAUAUGGAGCUGUUGGGGGGCGUUCUGGGGGUACUCCAAACAGUAAUAUUGGGGGUUCACCACCUGAACUACAGGGGAGUGGCAGUGGCUACAUGGGAGGUGGUUAUGGGGAUGCAAAUGGAAAUCCAGGGUAUGGAAAUGCAGGUUGGAGAUCCGAGUCACAACUUUCUGGAAAUUAUGGGACUCAGGGCAAUGGACUUCAUGGUGGGCAACUUGGUUAUGGUGGGGGAUACAGUGGUUCUCAGAAUCGGCAAGGCCAACAACAAUGAUCACAAACACAUUGAUGCCAACUGGAUCUUAAUCACCACUUUACAAGAGGUCCUCCAAAGGUUUCUUGUUCCCAGCAGCAGGGAGAGUGGCUCAAAUUGGAUGCUAAUGCUCAUUGGGACCGGAGGAGAUGCUCGAGUUUUAAGGUGGAGCGACAUGUCCACUCAUGGCCCGAGCUUCAUACUGGGGGGUGUGUUCAGUAUGGGGUUUUUUCAGCAUGGAUUGGAAUCUGAAGGCUUGUCAGUUGAAUUGUAAGUUAAGGGCCAUUUUUCAGCCAGGCAAUAUAUCACUGUCAAUCUUGUUUGCAGAUUCUUGGCAUUACAAAUUAUAAAUUUCUCAAUCAUUCAAGUUCCCUGGUGGCUAAUCAAUUUUGUGGUAAACAUCUUUGCGGUAUGUUGACUGAGCUGUUAGCUGUUUCUUGUGACAAGAUAUAGCAAAUCAUAUGUCAUUCCAAAUGUUUAGAGCAGCAGAGAUGCUGUCUAUAGCUGAAGUGGUGGUAUAUUUUGGAAUGAAGCAAAUGACUUUAAUCAUGUUUAUGGCAAGUUAUUUUAUUGAUGGUC